AACUUAAUAAAGCUUUUAGGUGUUUGAAAAAACAUAACAGGGAAAUGCGUGAAACGCUGCAGCCCCCGCUACUGUAUGUGGUGCUGCUUGGUCGUUUGCCACUGUAGGAAACUAUGGGAAGGUGUACCAAGCUAUGAGCCAUAAGCCAGGAGACCUACCUAAAAGUUAAAGUAUUC
rnacentral:ncRNA from 2 species